rnacentral:rRNA from 1 species
UAGGGAAUCUUCGGCAAUGGGGGGAACCCUGACCGAGCAACGCCGCGUGAGUGAAGAAGGUUUUCGGAUCGUAAAGCUCUGUUGUUAAGGAAGAACGAGUGUGAGAAUGGAAAGUUCAUACUGUGACGGUAUCUAACCAGAAAGCCACGGCUAACUACGUGCCAGCAGCCGCGGUAAUACGUAGGUGGCAAGCGUUGUCCGGAUUUAUUGGGCGUAAAGCGAGCGCAGGCGGUCAAUUAAGUCUGAUGUGAAAGCCCCCGGCUCAACCGGGGAGGGACAUUGGAAACGGGUUGAAUUGAGUGCAGAAGAGGAGAGUGGAAUUCCAUGUGAAGAGGUGAAAUGCGUAGAUAGAUGGAGGAAAACCAGUGGCGAAGGCGACUCUCUGGUCUGUAACUGACGCUGAGGUUCGAAAGCGUGGGUAGCAAACAGG